AUUACAGAAGGAAGUUGGCAGACAUAAAAGCUUACAUAGAAAAAUGAUUACAGGCAGUUGAUUAUUCUCAGCAAGUCUUGUGGUCAGGGCAAGGUGGGCAGAGCUUUUCUUUGAAAUUCGUCUCACACCACUAAUUAACUGCACUUUUUCAUGGCCCUAAAUCAUAUCUGCCCUCAAGGUAACCAAGGUAACCCAAACACCAUUCUUCAGGAUUCCACCCCCAGGGUUUGCUCCAAUAAUGAAUGGCUGGCUUCAUGUUAUCAAGAAUAGCCUGCCUUUCUUCCCUAUCUAAAAUGCACCAGGGGUUUGCUACAAACUCUCACUCUGGCUCUUCUGGCCCUCUGUAGCAGCUUUGAUGGUUCCCCAAAGGCAGGAUGGAGCUGCCCAGAAGGCCCGGGCUGGCUAAUUCUCAGAAACAUGAGUCUGAUGACCAAACCCAUUUGGGGAUCUUCAGGAGAGCAUCAAGCCCAGAGAGUACUGCAUCUUCUAAAUCUUAGAAGGCCAGGGUGGGCGAGUAGGAGAGCUUAGAAGGGGCAAUCCUGUGUCACUGAACCUAUCUCUCCAACAACAGAUGGCCCAGGAGGACUAGGCAAGCUUUUAAAUCCCAGCCUGGGACAGGCCCAAGAUACUAAAAAAUCUUAGUGCAGUUUCUGGGCUCAGGGUCCCUGCAAAACUGGCAGUCAAAAUCUAGAAGGUGCAGAGACUCAAGUCCUCAGAUCCAUCAGAAGAGCUCAAGGCCCCUCUAAACAGGUUCAGCAGCUCGAUAGCUCCAACUAGUCUGUCCAGCAGACCUUAUACCUACCUCCUAUCUUGUCCUAAAUGUCCCUGGGUUCCAGCUCAGUCCUCUAGGCUGUACUGCAGCCAAAAGUCUAAAGGUCAGCCCUAGCUCCUCCUGUCCAGCCAAUUGAGGAGAGUUCUGAAUCACCCGCUCCCUCCUCAUCCAGAGAUCAUACCACUGCCUUGCCUGCCACAGCUCCAGAGCCCUUCCCGGCUCCCACGCACAAUUUACUGCUCCGCGAUGCGGUGUCCGGGUGCAUCCGCUUGAGAGAGUGGGUUACAUGUGAACCCUUCCACUCCAUCCGGUGGUCACUCACAAAACUCCAAACCCGGAACAAAGCCCUAUCUCUCACCCUCCUUCCAGAUGCUGGCUCUGCUGGAUCCACACGUCAUUCAUCUCCCGCCUCUGUUUUUGAAAGCCAAUUUCACCUCAGGACUUUUUGCAGAGGUCACACAAAAGAACGGCUGUUCAAAAGUCUCAGCUUAGUUCCUGGCCUGUGCAACCGUUUUGAGUUUUUAUUCUCCAACAUUAGAAUCUCCAGGGCCAGUACACUAAGAGAUGGUGAUGAGAACGGUCUGCUGCCCAAAAUGUGGAUUUGUGGAGAAAAGUGUAAAGUCCCAUGGUCUGGUCCUUCACUGUCCACCACAAAGAGGGACUGGGCUUGUGAAACCUCCAGAGCAAGGCCCUGUGGGGUGACUUUCCAGGUAAGGACAACUGACAGCCUGUGCUCCAUCCCCGGGACCCACGUGGUGGAAGGAGAAAAGUGAUUCCCCUAAGUCGUCCUCUGAACUACAGAGAGAGACAAAACCAGAGAGCCUCAUGGAAAAAUAAAAAUUAUAAAAGCAAAUUCACGGGCAGGUCGGGGGAUUAGCAAUUCUGUAGGAGAUUUCUUGAGGCAAGAGGGACCCUGGUGCCUAUCUCUUCUGGGCUCCUUCACUUCCAAGCUCCCAGAUUCCUGUUUCCAAAUCAUUCUGUAGGUUCAUAACAUUGCCUUUCAUUGGCCUUCCACCUAAGUGAAUAUUGUUCAAAUAGAUAAGGAUACAGGACCAUAAAGGGUCAGAUCACGAUGUGAAUAACCCAGCCACUGGGAACAUUCACCUUGAACAAAUACAAUUCGGAUGGCUGGGGAUAAAAUGAAGUACAAUAAUAUCACAAUCAUCUCUGCCUUAAGGAGGCCUUGGUGGCUCAUAAGAAAGUGAGCUACAUUAACAGAGAGAUGUACAAUGCCUUAGGUUUUUGGAAAACAGAAUUCAGAGGCCAGGCAGUGGUGUCACACACCUUUAACCCCAGCAUUCAGGAGGCAGAGACAUACAAAUCUCUGAGUUAGAGGCCAGCCUGGUCUACAGAGCAAGUUCCAGGACAGCCAGGGCUACACAGAAAAAACCCUGUCUCAAAAAAAACAAAAACAAGGGCUGGAGAGAUAGCUCAGUGGUUAAGAGCAUUGCCUGCUCUUCCAAAGGUCCUGAGUUCAAUUCCCAGCAACCACAUGGUGGCUCACAACCAUCUGUAAUGAGGUCUGGAUAGCUGUAUACAUAAUAAAUAAAGAAAGAAAAAAUUUAAAAAAAAAAAAACAAAACAAAACAAAAUUAAAAAAACACACAAAAACAAAAAAAGAAUUCAGGUUGGAGAGAGAGAUCAGUCUAUAAAGCUGGAAACACAGCAAGCUCCAGUCCCAGUAAGAGACCCUAUCUCAAAAAAAUGACACCCGAGGUUGACUUCUCACGAACAAACACACAGGCAAAAAACGCAAUGGCAAUCACUGAAAGAACCCUCUCUCUGUGCCAUGCUUAAGAAGAAAUUAAGAACGUCCACUGGUUUUUUUUUUUCCUGGUGUGUUUAUUUACACUGGCUCAGCAAAUACAUUGAUCCACAGACUAUAGCUAGAGGCCAAGGUCAAGUCAGCGUGUUUGGUUUUGGUGGUGGUGUUGUGGGUUUGUCAUUGUAUGAUUGUUGUUUUAAGGUUUCAAAAGUUUUUUUUUUUUUUUUUUUUUUUUUAAAGACAGGAUCUUCUUUGUAGUCUUGGGUGGCCUGGAACUUGCUAUGUAGACCAGGCUUGCCAAGGGCUGGGAUUGAAGGUGUGUGCCACAUGCCCAGUGCAUUUAUUAUUUCAACUUGCUAUAUUUUAAUGAAUAUGCUAUUUUAUGUUUGUUUGGUUUGGGUUUUUGUAUCAGAGUUUCUCUGUGUAGCACUAGCUGUCCUGGAACUCACUCUGUAGACCAGGCUGGCCUCGAACUCACAGAGAUCUGCCUGGUCUUUGCCUCCCGAGUACUGGGAUUAAAGGUGUGCCACCACCCGACAAACGUGCUAUUUUUAAUGAAUUUUGCUGGGCAUCACCUGUGAGCUGGUUUUGAAGCAGUCCAUCGGUUAGUAUAGCAGCUAGCCAACAGCUUCUUUCCCUUCCUUGGAGCCGACUCUGCCAGAGUAGGCAGGCUUCAUUCUAUUCCCCUUUGUGCUGCUGGCUAUGUCUGUACAGCAAACAGAAACUGUUUCCAGAGUUAGAGAGACAGCUCAGUCUUGGGGGGAACUGGCUGCUUUUUUAGAGGAUCCAGGUUCAAUUCCCAGCACCCACACAUUAGCUCACAACUGUCUGUAACUCCAGUUCCAGGGCUCUGACGCCCUCUUCUGGCCCCCACGGGCACCAGCCAUGCACCUGGUAUACUGAAAUGCAUAAAGACAAAUAUUCAUACGCAUAAAAAAGAAAAUGCUGCCGAGUGUGGUUGUGUUUGAUCCCAACACUUGGUAGACAGAGGCAGGUGAAUCUCUGAAUUCAAAGCCAGCCUGGUCUACAUAGUGAGUUCCAGGACAGCCAGGGCUGUGUAGAGAGACCCUGUCGCCAAAAAGAAGAAAGAGAAAGAGAGGGAGGGAGGGAGGGAGGGAGGAAGGAAGGAAGGAAGGAAGGAAGGAAGGAAGGAAGGAAGAAGGGGAGAAAAGUCCCACACUUGAUAAAUACACAUAAAACACUUGAGCCAGGCAGUGAGUGAUGGUGCAGGUCUUUAAUCCCAGCAUUUCAGAGGCAUAGGCAGGUGGAUCUCUGGGAGCAAGUUCUGGGACAUGUUCUAAAGCUACACAGAGAAACCCUGUCUCAAAAAACAAUAACAACAACAACACAAUUUUUGGUUGUUUUCAAGACAAGUUUUCUCUGUAUAGCCCUGGCUGACCUGAACCUUGUUCUGUAGACCAGGCUGGCCUCAAACUCAGAGGUCUGCCUACCUCUGCCUCCCAAGUGCUGGGGAUUAAAGGCGUGUGCCAACAACGCUGAGCACAUAGAUAUAUAUUUCUAUAAUCAGCUGGGGGUUUUUUUUUUUACUAUGCCAAAAAGUUUACUAGUUUUUACAUGUCAAACUUUAAUAUGAAUAUACACGUACAGAAUUAAGCACAAACCGUACGAAGACAAAAUUUAAUUAUCUGAAUCAAAAGAGUAAAUAAGUAAAAGCUGGGCCUAGUGGUAUACACCUCUAAUCCCAUCAUGUGAAAGGCAGAGGGCAGAGAUCGCUACACGUUCUAGUCCAGCCUGAUCUCUCUAGAGAGUUUCAGGCAAGCCAGGGUCACAGCCCUAAGAGCCCCGGUGAGGUGAGGCAGCUGACAGGAGUCAGUGAGCAGUCUUUGGUUCCUCUGAGGGUGGAGCAUGAAGACUGGAAGACUGAAAAACAGGACCACUUAGGAACAGUAACCGGAACGGUUGCCUGGACAACCGCGCUGCUAGAUAGCAAGCUGCUUGGACUAGAGUCGACGGUGAUUGGCUGGUUUUCCUGGCGUCCAUCUCCCUGGCAACUGACUGGCUGAGGACAGGGAGGGAGGGUUUCCGGUGUGGAAAAGUCGUGGUCAGACAGACUCCUGACCCCAUCAAGAGCUCUAGGGAGUUAGCGGUCCUAGCCCAGAGCUGCAUCCACAGGCCUCCACCUCUACCCGACUCUUCUUCUACCAGGACCUUGAGCCUUGGUGCAGGAAGCUCAGAAGGAAAUGUGUUCGCUGUCCUUGCUCUUCUCAGUAGCACACUAGUAUACUAGGCGUUCAGCUGUGGCCAUGAGCCCUCAGAUAUCAAGACCCUCGUCAGGCUUCCUACCUUCUCGUGACACCCCACCACCCACCAAAUCAUCAGCUCCCAAGGUGCCACUCUUUUCUUUUAAAUUAUUUAUUAUGCAUACAGUAUUCUUUCUGCAUAUAUGCCUGCAGUCCAGAAGAGGGCACCAGAUCUCAUUACACCAUGUGGUUGCUGGGAAUUGACCUCAGAACCUUUGGAAGAGCAGGCAGUGCUCUUAACCAAUGAGCCAUCUCUCUCGACCCGGUGCCACUCUUUUCUGAACGCACUGGCAUCCUGUCCCCCCAGUGCACCAGGCAUCCAGCCCGAGGAACUGAAAUCACAGCCAACAAUAGCCAUCCUGCAAGUGAGUCAGUACGCUAAGGUCCCGUGGAUUCCCACAAGUCUUUGCAAGCAGUCCCUGGCCAUCAUUAAAGGGUCCUAGGAAAGAAGCUCAUCUCACAGGUGGAAGCCCCCUCAGCCCCUCACUCUGAGCCACAACAGAGACAUUCCAUCGCUGGCUGAGUGACAUUUGUCCACAGACAAGAGAGAGGAAAGACAAGAGCAGUCUGUCUUUCUGGCCUCCGACAAAGGACCCUCUAGCCAGGUGUGGUAGCUAGAGCACAUCUGUAAUCCCAGAAUUGUGGGCAGAGCCAGUGGUUAGUGUCAUCCCUAACUACACAGUGAGUUUCAGGUCAGCUUCAGCUAGCUGAGAUCCUGUCUAAAUAAAACCUUUGGUUGAGACAGGGUUUCUCUGUGUAGCUCUGGCUGUCCUGGAACUUGCUCUGUAGACCAGGGUGGCGUUGAGCUCAGAGAUCCGCCUGCCUCUGUCUCCUAAGCAAGGUUCAGGAUAGCCAGGGCUACACAGUAAGACACUGUCUAAACAAACAAACAAACAAAAUAAAAUAAAAAAAAACCGCAACAAGCUUGCCAGAGCUGAUCUGGCAGACCUGUCACAAAUUCACAGCUGUGUGACUUGUGAUUCAGGGACCGGAGAGAUGGCUCAGCGGAUAAGAGACAGACGUGUGGGCAAAACACCAAUGCACACGAAACAGACAAAUCAAUCAAACAAACAAACCAAAACCUUGGCAGCAAACCCAGCCAGAGAGUAGAGGUAAGGUAGACAACACACACAACAGAUCCGCUGGCUCUGUCCAAGCCUGGGCAGCCAUUGUUACUAUUCUCUGUAUCCUAUUCAAGCUACAGAAUUGUUUCCCUUAGAAGGUAGGCACCACCCAGAGGUGCAGACAGCAUGCGGUUCCCUGAGGCCUCUCUGGGUAUCAGAGCUGAGUGUUCUCGUGGCAGCUGAGCCACAGUGCAGGAUAAGCUGGGCCCUGGGUUCUGAAAGGAGCAAAUGGAAUGGAUGCCACAGGCGUUAAGAAUCAGAACUUUUGUUCAAAGCCAAAUGGGAAGGCACCGCACAUUAUAAACGGCACACGCCAAGGAAGUGAGCAGCAGGGUUGGUAGUAGCUGCGGAAGGCAUGAGAGGGAGAGUGGUCCCUGGUGAGGACUUCUUGUUUUCCCUGGCAGGCCCCAGCAUAAGCAGAUGGAAGAAAUACCCACAAAAUAGCCAGGAGCUCGAGGAAGGUGAUCCAAUUCAGUAGACAGGAAACGAGUUUCCCUGCUCCAGGUUCCCGACAUGAAAGCCAAAGGAGGGGAUAAGGCUCAGUGAGAGCCAAGGUCCCUUGUGACAUGAUGCAAGUUGAAGGGACCCCCUUUCCCCGGCUCCACUUUCAGAAGUGACUGGCUGUCUUCCAGCUGGGAAGCCGAACUCAGAGCCUUUGUUUACAGACCUAUGGUCCCAAGAUGAGCUGGGUGGUUUGCACCUAUGAUCUAAGUACCUAGGAGGUAGAGGCAAGGAGCAUCGGU